ensembl:lncRNA
GAGUAAGUCUGGGAGGAAGCAGCAGGUCUCAGGUAGCGGGCCCAGGGAAGUCCGUCAGCAAACGGUCCGUAGAGAAGGAUCUGAAGGCAGAAACCUCGAGUCGUGGUGAGAGAUCAGCCUCUCUGUUGUGGUGAAGGAUCAGAUGGCGGAGAACCCCUCAAGUCUAUCGUGGUGAGAGAUAAGCCUCUACCUCGCCGUGGUUGUUGGACCCUCUUUUAUCCUCCGUUUUCUCCUGCCUACGUGACAUCCCUGGGUGCUUGAGCAAGAGUCAUGUGCAUACCUCCUGAGAUGGCCAUCUUCCUUGAGAUAAGUCCACACAAAAAGACUGUUUCCCGGCCAUUAGCAGCAGCUUAACUCUCUCUCGUUGCCCCUGGCCUUGUCCAUCUGUGCUCCUUAGAGGAUUUCACAACCUUUAGCCAGACCUGUCCAUCAGUGUCCUCCAGACAGAAGAUUUCUCUACCUUUGCCCAGGACUUUCCUGAACUUGUUCCCCAGCAAACUUUGAGUCAAUGAUAUAAAAGAAUAAUCUCUUACAGAGUAGCCUGACAAGGAAUGUUAAAAACAGUAAGUUCUAUACGUACAUUGAUCAGAAGAGACAGGUAAGCAACAGCCUACUUUCUCUGAUAAAUAUGAAAAAAAAGAACUGGCUACAACAGAUAUGGAGAAGGCUGAGGUACUUAAUGAGUCCUUUGCCUUAGUCUUCACUGACAGCCAGGAUUCUCAUAUUUCUCUCAUCCCUGAAUCUUACAUCCCUGAAAUUCUUCUACUCUAAGGGCAGAGCAAGCCUAAGAUCACCUUAUGAGGAUGAAGGUGUACAAGUUUGUGUGCAGAACAACAUGCAUCUCAGGGUACUAAGGAAGCUGACUGAAGUGGUCACUGAGCUGAUCUCCAUCAUAUAUGAAAAGUCAUGGCUGUCAGACGAAGAUCUCAGUGACUGGAAAAAGGGAAACUUCACUCCUACUUAAAAGAAUGGGAGGAAGGAAGACCCGGGGGAAUUACAGGCUGGUGAGCCUCACCUCUGUGCCUGCGAAGUUCAUAGAACAGAUCCUCUUAGAAGACAUGUUAAGACACAUGAGGGACAAGCAGGUGAUACAAAACAAUUAACAUGGCUUCACCAAGGGAAUUUUGUGCCUAACCAAUCUGAUGGCCUUCUAUGUUGGAAAUGACAGCACUGGUCAACAAAAUGGUCAACAAAACUAGUUCUAAAACUUGAAAGUGUCCCCCUUUGGGUGCACUGAAUUGUUUGUGAAUUAAUAUACAAGGUUUUAACCUUCAGUUCUGAUUUUUUUUUUUUUCCUUCACACAUUUGACUCCAUCAUGCUAGGAAGCAUACCAAUUCACAGCUGUCUUGUGACACUUUUGUUCUUGCUGUUUGUUACUGUUGCCGCUUGGGAAGGGCAAGUGUUUGUCUUUUUUAAACUCUUUUUCUUUUAACCUACAUAAAAACAACUAUAUGACUAAAAUCUGUAAUAUAAUUUCUCUUUAUACAUGCCAGUAAUCCCUAUUUCCAUAUUAAUUAUAUUAAAUAAAUUCUUAGGGAAAAGUCCCCAUGUACUUAGUUUCUGUUGUGUUGUGCAUCUGUAUGGAAAUGUAACUGG